rnacentral:rRNA from 1 species
AUUGAACGCUGGCGGCAGGCCUAACACAUGCAAGUCGAACGAGUGGCGGACGGGUGAGUAAUGUCUGGGAAACUACCUGAUGGAGGGGGAUAACUACUGGAAACGGUAGCUAAUACCGCAUACCAUCGGAUGUGCCCAGAUGGGAUUAGCUAGUAGGUGGGGUAAAGGCUCACCUAGGCGACGAUCCCUAGCUGGUCUGAGAGGAUGACCGGCCAGCCUGGAACUGAGAAACGGGCCAGACUCUGACGGUAGGCAGCAGGGGGGAAUAUUGCGGAAGGGGCGCAAGGCUGAUGCAGCCAUGCCGCGGGUAUGAAGAAGGCGUUCGGGUUGUAAAGUACUUUAAGCGGGGAGGCGGUACCCGCAGAAGAAGCACCGGCUAACUCCGUGCCAGCAGCCGCGGUAAUUC